rnacentral:sRNA from 1 species
UCGGCUCAGUACUGGCUUAAUUUCCAUCUGUUUUCUCUGUGAUCUUCAUUAUUUUGUUGUUGAAACUCAACUACGAUUCCCUGCUUCCGUUUCUUGCUCUACCCACGGAUUUGUUCUACGUUUCACAUUUGGCGAUGUAAUUAACACGCUGAUGGCCAAUUCCAAGUCGCUGGGCGGCUUAAGUCCGCUCAAGGCUGUUGCCAUUUGGCAAGCAAUAAUAUUUAAUCGUGAUGUUUAUUAUUUGUUAUUAACCCAUUAUGAUCAUUUCCUAUGCGAUGACAGCGACGAAAGGAAAACAGAGAUUUUACUUUAAGCUAUUGGUAUUUCGGAAUCGAAGCCAGAUUUUCUAUGGAGUGGCACAUCGACGAGUAUUCGGCGGCAGCUCCCUCCACUAAUACGAUUUUUUUUGCUUCGCCUCGAAAAUAAAUACAUAAAUAAACAAUC